rnacentral:ncRNA from 1 species
AUAAAAGCUAUGAAGAGAAAAAGUAAAAUGAUAAUGUUUUUUCACAGAGAGCUUCGGUAGCUGAAAAGAAGCAAAAAACACUCAUUUGAACAAUGGUCUCAGAGCUUUGUACUGAACAUACUUUUUGUAUUAGUAGGAUACAACGAGUCUUGGCUCUCGUUAUCAAAGUCACAGUAUAAGAGUUAUAUUUUUAUUUACUCCGUACUUGUUGAGGCAAAUGGUGUGAGUCAUUUGCAAAAUAAGGUGGUAACACGUGGAAAAUCUAACCUCGUCCUUAAC